rnacentral:rRNA from 1 species
UACGGAGGGUGCAAACGUUGCUCGGAAUCAUUGGGCGUAAAGCGCGCGUAGGCGGCCUGAUAAGUCGGGUGUGAAAGCCCUGGGCUCAACCCAGGAAGUGCACUCGAAACUGUCAGGCUUGAAUAUGGAAGAGGGUCGCGGAAUUCCCGGUGUAGAGGUGAAAUUCGUAGAUAUCGGGAGGAACACCAGUGGCGAAGGCGGCGACCUGGGCCAAUAUUGACGCUGAGGUGCGAAAGCGUGGGGAGCAAACAGG